rnacentral:rRNA from 1 species
CACGGAAUUAGCCGGUCCUUAUUCAUGUGGUACCUGCAAUGCAUGACACGUCACGCACUUUAUCCCCACAUAAAAGCAGUUUACAACCCAUAGGGCCGUCAUCCUGCACGCUACUUGGCUGGUUCAGGCUCUCGCCCAUUGACCAAUAUUCCUCACUGCUGCCUCCCGUAGGAGUUUGGACCGUGUCUCAGUUCCAAUGUGGGGGACCUUCCUCUCAGAACCCCUACUGAUCGUAGCCUUGGUGGGCCGUUACCCCGCCAACAAGCUAAUCAGACGCAUCCCCAUCCAUAACCGCUAAACCUUUAAUCGUUAUUUGAUGUCAGCAAACGAUAUCAUACGGUAUUAGGCCGUCUUUCAACGGGUUAUCCCGUAGUUAUGGGAAGGUUGGAUACGCGUUACUCACCCGUGCGCCAGUCGUCAUCAAGGAAAGCAAGCUUUCCUCAUGUUACCCUGCGACUUGCAUGUGUUAAGCCUGUAGCUAGCGUUCAUCCUGAGCCAGGAUA